AUGAACGCUGGCGGCGUGCCUAAUACCUGCAAGUCGAGCGAACGGACGAGAAGCUUGCUUCUCUGAUGUUAGCGGCGGACGGGUGAGUAACACGUGGAUAACCUACCUAUAAGACUGGGAUAACUUCGGGAAACCGGAGCUAAUACCGGAUAAUAUUUUGAACCGCAUGGUUCAAAAGUGAAAGACGGUCUUGCUGUCACUUAUAGAUGGAUCCGCGCUGCAUUAGCUAGUUGGUAAGGUAACGGCUUACCAAGGCAACGAUGCAUAGCCGACCUGAGAGGGUGAUCGGCCACACUGGAACUGAGACACGGUCCAGACUCCUACGGGAGGCAGCAGUAGGGAAUCUUCCGCAAAGGGCGAAAGCCUGACGGAGCAACGCCGCGUGAGUGAUGAAGGUCUUCGGAUCGUAAAACUCUGAUAUUAGGGAAGAACAUAUGUGUAAGUAACUGUGCACAUCUUGACGGUACCUAAUCAGAAAGCCACGGCUAACUACGUG
rnacentral:rRNA from 1 species